UUGGAAGCUUUCCCGUAAAGAACUGACGGACAGUGAAUAAUUUUUUUUUCUUUUUUUUUACAUUUUCAUUCCUAAUUAAAUCAGCUAUCAGUGAUCUGGGAGUGUUCUGUGGACUUGCUAAUGACUUCUGUUAAUUCGCAAGAAUUCUCGGCGAGGAUACUACUGUCUGCGAUGUGUGAAUCGAGCCAUCCCGUUGAAUUCAACAGACUUCAAAUUCCCUAAAGAAGAAAUAUGAAUAACGAACGAAGAACAAGGUUCCAGGAUUCAUCAAAGAACACGUACAUGAACGCCAGGGCUCAUGUGCAGGUGGGCCUUUCUGGUAGCCAUUGGUUGGCUUUAACUGUUCCUUUCGAACACUUCAAGAUCCAUGGCCUUUCAAAUAUUGCAACAAAUUCGCCAUUUUCAUCACGACUUCCGACUAUAUUCACCGUAUUAUAAAUGUCAUAUUUAUUUUUAAAAAACGCUCCUGUUUAACAAUAUUGUUGUUUUAAUUGUCCUACUCUCUGUUAUUCUGCAAAAUGCAAGUAACUCUCGCACAUAUACGUAAUUAAAAAUGUAAGCAGU